rnacentral:misc_RNA from 1 species
AACCAUAGAAACCUGCGGAGUACCUGCGGAAGGAUCAUUACAGAGUUGCAAAACUCCCUAAACCAUUGUGAACGUUACCUAAACCGUUGCUUCGGCGGGCGGCCCGGGUCCUUCCCGGCGCCCAUCGGCCCUCGCGGGCGCCCGCCGGAGGUAAACCAAACUAUUGCAUUGUAUGGCCUCUCUGAGUCUUCUGUACUGAAUAAGUCAGAACUUUUAACAAUGGAUCUCAGAUCGGAAGAG